UACGGGGGGAGCAAGCGUUGUUCGGAUUUACUGGGCGUAAAGGGCGCGUAGGCGGCCACCGCAAGUCAGUUGUGAAAUCUCUGGGCUUAACCCAGAAAGGUCAACUGAUACUGCGGGGCUAGAGUGCAGAAGGGGCAACUGGAAUUCUCGGUGUAGCGGUGAAAUGCGUAGAUAUCGAGAGGAACACCUGCGGCGAAGGCGGGUUGCUGGGCCAUGAACUGACGCUGGAGAAGCGAAAGCAUGGGGAGCGAACAGGA
rnacentral:rRNA from 1 species